rnacentral:rRNA from 1 species
ACAGAUGCUUAACACAUGCAAGUCAUUGGCGAAGCUGCGCUUGCGCAGUCUAGCCAAGGCGGACGGGUGAGUAACGCGUAAGGAACUUGCCCUGCAGACAGGGAUAACAGACGGAAACGACUGAUAACACCUGGUAUUGUCAGGCUGGCGCAUGCCGGCCUGAUGAAAGGAGACGCUGCAGGAGAGCCUUGCGUCCUAUUAGCUAGUUGGUGGGGUAACGGCCCACCAAGGCGAUGAUAGGUAGCCGGCCUGAGAGGGUGAACGGCCACAGGGGGACUGAGAUACGGCCCUUACUCCUACGGGAGGCAGCAGUGGGGAAUAUUGGACAAUGGGGGCAACCCUGAUCCAGCAAUUCUGUGUGCACGAAGAAGGUUUUCGGAUUGUAAAGUGCUUUCAGCAGGGAAGAAGAAAGUGACGGUACCUGCAGAAGAAGCGACGGCUAAAUACGUGCCAGCAGCCGCGGUAAUACGUAUGUCGCAAGCGUUAUCCGGAAUUAUUGGGCAUAAAGGGCAUCUAGGCGGCCCUGUAAGUCUAGGGUGAAAACCUGCGGCUCAACCGCAGGCCUGCCCCGGAAACUACAGGGCUAGAGUAUCGGAGAGGUGGACGGAACUGCACGAGUAGAGGUGAAAUUCGUAGAUAUGUGCGGGAAUGCCGAUGAUGAAGAUAGUUCACUGGACGGUAACUGACGCUGAAGUGCGAAAGCUAGGGGAGCAAACAGGAUUAGAUACCCUGGUAGUCCUAGCUGUAAACGAUGAUUACUGGGUGUGGGCAUGAAGAGUGUCCGUGCCGA